CAGCGUUCGGGUAGCUGCAAAGCCUGGGGCGGUAGCGUG
rnacentral:ncRNA from 1 species